UUUACGUCAGCGGCCUUGGGCUGAGAUUUGAGAACGCGACCAAGUGGAGAAUGUUGGAGCCAGAUUUUAAAAUCCUUGUCUUCCUUCUGCUUGCUACUUGAUCUAAAUGAGAUACGGCAAAGUCACAGAACCUGUUUUUAUGUUUUUGCCUGAUUCAUACGGGCUUCUCCGGUGAAGAUGGGCUGAAGUAACGCUGGGGUUGCUUCUGACGUUGUAACUCAUCCUGUAGCUGCAGCAACCGUGGUCCUUGCAACCUCAUAAAAAUGUUGCCAGCAUUGUUUCGAUAGUGCUGCUUAAUUCUUGGAAGGCCUCUUUGCUUUCUUCCCUGAGGUUCUUCGGACUUCACACAUUCCAGCAGUAGCUCUCUCAGCUCCUGUCCUGCACAGCUUUGAAGUGCUGGUGAUGUCAUUGAACUCUUAAGUGCAAGAUGAAACAAGUCUUUCUGGGGUUCCAAGACACAGCCCUGGUGAUGGCUUUCUGAGGAUGACACGAUGGAGGCUUCUCCAAUAGCUCUAAAACUGUGGAGUGGAAAACAUUUGGCAGCCUCAAAGAGCGGUCUUGACCCCAACUAUAUCAUUUUUCAUCAAAAUCAUUCUUGUAAAGAAUGACCAGGCAACACUCUUUGAAAAUUGGAGACCAUUUGCAGCUGCUCUCUGUUGAGGAAAGUGAAUAAUAGGGUGCCCUCAAGGAAUUGCAAAGGAAAUUUCCUGCGCAAAACUCUAGUUAGAGAUUUCAGUGACUUGUAUCACCAAGAGGAGGACCAUCAGCAUGCAGUGGAGGUCCAGGCUUCAGACAUGUGAGGCACACUGAGGAGCAGCUUUAUUUGCAAGAGUCCUAAGUUGGUGGCAUGAAAACACUGCCCUGGAAGCAAUGGAGCAGCAAGUGCUCUACCCACAUGGAAGUCUUUGGGACCUGCACUUCAAUGAGCGCGGAGAGGAAAAGGAGCGAAGAACCAACACAACUGAAGCACCUACGAGCGUCAGGCACUGGCCCAGCUGCCGUGGAUCCCCCGAGUUGAAGGUCGUAUAACCUCAGCCUGCCCAAAUGAACCAAGCACACAACCACGGGGGAACCCAAGAGUUCCAGUGGGAGAGCUGGAAGAGCAGGGACCGAUGUGAGAAGUGGACACCAUAUGGCAGGACCCAGGAUCCAAUCAGACUGAGCCCUGGGGUCACCCCAUGGAGGGAUCCAGUUGGAUCAUGCCUCCUGGCAUCACCUACUGCAAGAUCCAAUCAGAUCACACCUCCUUACCCUAUGCUUAUAAAACCCCACCCAGCCCCCAGCCCGAGGAUACAGAUUUGAGUAUUUCCUCCUGUUUCCUUACCAGUCGAUGUGCAAUAAAGCUUUUUUUUUUCCUAAA